CGUGUAGGUGGUUCGGAAAGUCGGAUGUGAAAGUCCGGAGCUCAACUCCGGAAGUGCAUCCGAUACUCUCGAGCUCGAGUCUCGGAGAGGAAGGCAGAAUUCCCAAUGUAGGGGUGAAAUCCGUAGAUAUUGGGAGGAAUACCGGUGGCGAAGGCGGCCUUCUGGACGAUGACUGACACUGAGACGCGAAAGCGUGGGGAGCAAACAG
rnacentral:rRNA from 1 species